GGACCCGCACAAGCGGUGGAGCAUGUGGUUUAAUUCGAUGCAACGCGAAGAACCUUACCUGCCCUUGACAUCCUCGGAAGGGACCGGAAACGGACCCGUGCCUUCGGGAACCGAGAGACAGGUGCUGCAUGGCUGUCGUCAGCUCGUGUCGUGAGAUGUUGGUUAAGUCCCGUAACGAGCGCAACCCCCUAUCCUUAGUUGCCAGCACGUAAUGGUGGGAACUCUAGGGAGACUGCCGUGACAAACCGGAGGAAGGUGGGACGACGUCAAGUCAUCAUGGCCCUUAUGGGCAGGGCUACACACGUGCUACAAUGGCCGGUACAAAGGCAGCGAAGCGCAAGGUGGAGCG
rnacentral:rRNA from 1 species